CCCCUAGAUGUUCUGGGCCGCACGCGCGCUACACUGAACAGUUCAACAAGUCUUAACCUUGGCCGAUAGGUCUGGGUAAUCUUUGAACGCUGUUCGUGAUUGGGAUAGACCUUUGCAAUUAUGGGUCUUCAACGAGGAAUUCCUAGUAAACGCAAGUCAUCAGCUUGCAUUGAUUACGUCCCUGCCCUUUGUACACACCGCCCGUCGCACCUACCGAUUGAAUGGUCCGGUGAAUCUUUAGGACUGUGGCUGAGGCCUUGCCUUGUGCGGGUCUGGCCGUGGGAAUUUAGUUAAACCUUACCAUUUAGAGGAAGGUGAAGUCGUANCA
rnacentral:rRNA from 1 species